rnacentral:rRNA from 1 species
AUGGCUUCCUCCUCCUCUGCCAUCAACUCUAGCCUCAACUACAACACCUCCGAACCACUUACCCAAACCAACUACAUCCUAUGGCGCGCACAGGCAAGAUCACAGAUCAUGGGUGCUGGCCUCUAUGGCUACCUAGAUCAAACCAUUGAAGAACCACAAAAAACCCUCACCACCAAGAACGCCGAAGGGAAGGAUCAGGUUGCCUCAAACCCUGCCUACUCCCAAUGGCUCAUCCAAGACCAACAGAUCGUCGCUUAUCUCCUCAGAAACCUAUCCAAAGAAGUACUUGUCCAGGUUGCUUCGCAUGAAAUAUGGCAUGCGAUAUGGACCGCGCUCGGGAAAAUGUUCUCGACCAUGUCUCUCUCGCGCGCCAAAAACAUAGGGGUCGCCCUCACCAACGCCCAGAAGGGCUCCCAGACGGCUGCUGCAUAUUUUGGUCAGAUGCGGGCCCUCUUCGACGAGCUCACGGCGACGGGAAAGCCGAUCGGCGAGGAUGAGCUGCUCUCCUUCAUCAUCGCCGGGUUGGACAUGGAGUACCAGCCUAUCAUCUGGGCGCUCGAUGCACGAACAGAACCAGUCUCCGUCGACAUCCUCUUCUCCAUGGUGGCAAAUUUCGAUCAGCGGGUCGAAAUGUUCCAUGAUACAAACGCCGGAUCCUUCAAAUCAUCGGCGAACUCUGCAUCUCGUGGUCGCCAGGGAAACACCAAAAACUACCAAAACCAGCGGAGUGGUGGAGGUGGUGGUGGAUCCCAUGGUGGUGGCAGCUAG